GCAACCGUUUCGUCUCCUCAGGUCUCGCCGCCGGCGAGCCGUUUCUCCUCACUCGCUCUAGAUCUGCGCGGAACCGGCAAUGCGAGGCUUCUUUGAGGCGAGGAUGACUUCCCAAACGGCCAAGACGAUUUCAGGCGCAGGGGAGGUGACCGCCGCUGCCCAGCAAAGCGUGGUGAGCUUCUUGCUGAGCCCGAGUAAAUUUCAGAAGGGGGAAGUUUCUUGUGAGGAGCACUGGAGCAGCAUUUGAUGAAAUUGCGGUUGCAAAUGGGAUGUAUAUGGAGUUUUCGGAAGUAGGGAGCGCAAUCGAAUCCCUGCCCUGCGCAACACAGAUUGUCAAGAGAUCCUUUUAUCAUGGAUCUUGUUAUGGAUGGUUGGGACAUGCCAGCGCGCGGCUCCAUGAGGUGGGAUAGUUCAUGCUAAACUUGAAAGUAGGUACCUAAAUCAGAGUCAAUGCUCCUUUUACUAACAACAGAAAAUAGGACACCCGCUGGGCAGGUUGUUUUGCCUGAAAUAAUUGUAACAUGACAGCAAAAGUAUAUCCUUAAAGAAUUCAGACGCAUAUGCAUAGUGUCGUGGAUCAUGUUACAGGUAACUUUCAACAAACACCAGUUACAUAGCUUCAUUUGCUUGCACCUCACUGAAUUGAAUAUGAGCAUCCAGGAGCAGCAAAUGGCCCUAAAAAGAGGAAAUGGUUUGACUGUACAAGUGGAAUCUAAUUAUAUGCCAUUUGAAGAGAACUAGCUAGUGUGCUCUAACAAGGAGAACUGCAGGUUUUGCUUCCAACAAGAAUUAUAAUAUAUGUGUGGUGGAUCAUGCUGUAUAUAGAAGAGACAUCCCAACAAGAAUGCACGAGGACUCAGAUGCAGGUGCAACCAUCAGAAGUUGAUAACCCUAAUUGGCAUAUUGUUAGAAGGUGACAGCUGUUCCUUCUACAAAUACUCCGUUGCAUAUCUUGCAUCACAUUUCUUUUGCUUGUGCUUGCCAAUCUGGAUUUUAAGUCAAGCAACAUGUGUAUGCCGUGCAGCCAAUAGCUGAGGCAUCACAUGUUUUUAGCUCACUCAUUGAUAUCUGUUUCUGUAACAAGAUGAAACAAUAUCAACUUGCCUUGGAGACAGAUGGUUAUGCAGCUGAAGAAAAAUGCUCCAGUAGUCUAUCAUUGACGACUAACAAAGCAUGACUGAGAUUCUUUGUCCAAUGGGCUUGGCAUUGACAUUGCUUCUGGUUUUUGCCUGUAAUAGGGUACUCGGUGGUUCAGCACCAGCAGAGUAUUGUUCUUCUCUUAUCUUCCAUCUUAUACAGAAUUAUAUCAUCACGCAGCCUUGACUGCAAACAUGGCUAGUCAUCAGAGGACGAGUUUGCCUUCUAAGCCUUUCUCCACUGAGGCCAAAGGAGCAAAAGAGCUGCAGAACUUCGAGGCCUGCAUCUCUUCCUCAUGCGCUUCCAUCGACACAAUGUGUGAUGGUUUGAAGAUACUUGGAGGCAUCUAUACAUGCAUAGAGGAAGUCAUAUCCCUGCCCAGCAAUCAAACUGCCGUCUCCAUGCCCCAGCAAAGGAAAAUGGUGGAGGAGCUGGAAUAGUUGUACUGCUGAUUGAUCUCUGCAAUGUGAUACAAGAAAAUUUAGCAGAGGUGAAGAUGAUUAUCCAGGAGCUGCAAACAUGUUUAGAGGGAGGACAUGAUGUAUCUAUUCAGCUCAAAAUUGUGUGUUUUGUGCAUAUGGUGAAGAAGGCAACUUCUGAAGGCUGCAGACUGACCAGGCUACUUUCAGAAGCCAGAGAUGGCUAUCUCUCUACUUGAAUCCACAUCGGGUCUCUUGCCAAACAAUAUUGUCACCACCGAUGCAAGUAAUUGGUCUUUUGUCUCCAAGAGAUUCCGAAAAGGAAAGGUUGGCUGCAAGGAGGAACAGUUCUGACUUGCGAGCAUGGAGCGCACCAUGGGAGAUGAGAAUGGUGCUGAGUUUCUGUUCAGGAGAUUGAUCCAGAGCAGGGUUUAUCUCCUAAACAUUCUUAGCGCAUCCUCCUUUUAAAGGAACUGUCAAACCUCUAGUUUGUACAUAAAUUGAAUAGUUGAAGAAGAAAAGUUUUAAACAUGUCCCCACUAUGAUUUCUGAUUUCAGCAAAACUUGCCAGCUGGGAUUUCAAUUAGCUGAAUGUUAUUCUAAUUUAGUUUAUAUCAGGUACAUGAUGGAUAUAACUAUAUAAGGAACUAUAAAUGAGAUAAAAUUCCCCUAAAAAGGCUGAAACAUGAAGUGUGUCAGUCAAGAACUCAAGAUAGACUUUUCCUUCGAAUUUCUUUAAGAAAUAAUCACUUACGUAGGCAAACAUUGGUUUACUAAUUGUCUUUUAGCUGUGUGUUUACACAGCCAAGCACUACUUUGAUCUUUGAAAUGGCCAUGUUACCUCACAGCAAUUGACAAUAGGCCAUGUGAUAGUACAUUGUAGCUCAUAAGUCAUAAUUAGCCUGACUAGUAUGCACAUGCACGGUUUUAUUGUAUAUAUCAAUAGGUGCGCAAGAACUAGACAUAGUCAAGUCACUUCCUCACAUGCUAUCAACAGGUCAGAUCUUUGCAAUAGAGACAGUGUGCAAUAGUCCCUAAUAUUUUAUUUGGUUCGGAUCAUAUUCAACUUACUGAUCCCUUUGUGAUGAUCUUGUCUCUGGCAGAUGAAACUUGCCAGCAAUAUGAGUGUUGAACACGGUUAUGGAGGUUGAGCAUUAUACUCGUUUAUGGAGGCUUAGUCGUCUUUACCUGUUGCUAACAACUUGUCAAUUUGUUCAAGUCUGUUGUUCAAAAUGUUGCCCUCAGGAAUCUAGCCCAUCCUAUAGCCUAGAAUGAUGGAUUGGCAAUGCUAAGUAUUAGUGAUUGUUGCCUUAUCCCAUAAAUUUAGCAAGAAGAUGGUAGUUUUUUUUAGGGGCCAAGCUGGUAAUUAUCUACUUUAACUUUUAUUGAUCCAUGAUCUUCUAUGUCCCAUGUUAAGAUCCAUGAGCUCAUGUUCUCUUUUUCACAUGAAAAAAAGAGACAUUUUGAAUAGUUUCUGCAAAUCCUGUAUGCUCUAAUUUGAUUUGAGACUGAAAAUGUAUCCAUCAACUGAGCUCGUCCAUCAAAAGAAAAGGCAGGAACAAUUGUUAAGAAUUGCAACGCAUGUGUGGCGGUUUGUGUUGCAUAUAGCAGGGACAUGCCAACAAUGUUGCACGAGGGUUGAGAGCAGGUGCAAUGCAACUAUAAGAUACUGAAUAUUCUUUCAACUGACAAAUCAGUUAGACAGUUACAUAAUUGGCAUUCCUUUUCUUCUGCAGUGCUCUGCUUGAGAUUUGCUGAUCUGUAUUAUAUUUCAGUUAAGCACUCAUGCGAAUGCUUGGCAAUCCAUGUUCAAGACAACAGCAUGAUUUGAUAGGACUAAUUUAUCCGUUAAUCUGAUUCAUCAUAUUUGGGAUUACUUGUUACUAAUUUGUUAACAACUGUGAUGUAUAGGCAGAGUAUGGUGCUCAAGACAACAGAUGCACGGCAGCACUGCCUCAUAAGGAUUGAGAUGCAGGUCAGCAUGUGGAACUGUCAGAAGUUGAGGAUCAGUUAACAGCUGUUUGAAGCUUGCCAACCUGGACUUUGAGUCACCUGCUCCGCUGCUCGUGCAUAUGACUUGCAACCAAUUGCUUGAGACAACACAUGCUGUUAGGGUCAGUUAUUGGUGUUUGUUGCACUGAACAGAACCGAUGAUUAUGCCACAGCACGGGAGCUACUCAUUAUUGAGAAUAGAUGGAAGAUGGUGGUUGGGGUGGCUUGCCAAUUGCAUUCUGCUUCCUGACUAUAAAUAUAGUGCAUCACAAGGGCUGAGCACAAACAAAACAGAGCCCUCCUUUGUCUUCCAUUCUAUACAGAAAACAGAAGUACCUCAUCACAUCAUCCACUACUGAUAUGGCUUGCCAUCAAAGGUCUACGAGUUUGCCCUCUUUGCCUUACUCCACUGAGCUCAAUGUGGAGCAGGACCUGCAGACCCUGAAAAUGCACAUCUCUUCGCCUUCUGCAACCAUUGGCACAGCGUGCGAUGGCUUGAGGAGGCUUGGUGAUGUCUACAGCUGCAUAGAGGAGAUGAUGUGCUUGCCCAGCAACCAAGCCUUGACCCGGGAAAGGAAGACAAUAGAGGAAGAACUUGACAGGUCCCUUGCACUGAUCGAUCUCAGCAACACCAUGCAAGAGAGCUUGGCAGAGCUGAAGACAAGCGUCCAGGAGCUGCGUCUGGUUCUUAAGAGGGGAGACGAUGCGUCUGUCCAGCUCAAGAUUGAGUCUUUCAUCCGUCUGGCAAAGAAGUCGCAGAAGCCUUUGAAGAAGAUGGGCAGCAAAGCUACUGCUGAAGGUUGCAGUUGCAGGCUGGUCAUGCUGCUGGCUGAAGCCAGAGAGACGGCUGUCUCUCUACUUGAAUCUAUGUCGCAGUUCUUGCCGAAGCAAAUUGGCAGCCCCGGUGGCAGCAAAUGGUCUCUCGUCUCCAGGAAGUUCCAGAAAAUGAAGGUUGCUUGUGAGGAGCGGCAGUUGCAGGCGCUUGAGCGCAGCAUAGGAGAUCUUGAAGAUGGGAUUGAGUUUCUGUUCAGGAGGUUGAUUCAAAGCAGGGUUGCUCUCCUGAACAUUCUUAGCUCAUAGAUACUUCUGAUCAUAUGCUAGUCUCCAAUUUGAUUGUAUAUGAGCUCAGUUGUAUAUAAAAUUGAUUGAUUGCAGUCAGUUUUGAUCAUAUAUGUUUGUGGUAUCAUAUCAAUAAAUCAUGCAGCAAAGGAUGAUCCUGGAAUCUCA